AAUCUGCUUCGGAGAAGCAGACAGAAGGAACAGACGGCCUAGCGGUUUAGGGAUCAGGCUGGGGGCUUUGAGAAACCGUGGGGAAUGUGUAGCAAUUUACAGGCCUUUUUUUUUUAUGUUAGCGGAAGUGGAGGAGCUUUCAGUGCUGCUUUGGCUUGUGGAAAGUGAGCAGCAAUUUCAGGCAUCGGUGAGCAAGUGGGGGAGCUGGAGCCUCUGAAGGCAGAAGACAUUCAGAGCCUGCUGUCAUCUGUUUGUGACAGGUCCAGUCUGCUGGCAUUUGUCAGGGUCUUACAGGUCCUUGCACACCGGGAGAAUUCUAGAUGACUUGAGGAUGGCCACUUGUCCACAGGCAAGAUUAGGGGAUGAAGGAUACAGAAACACUGGCCAUCACCCUCUUUCCUGCUCCCUCUCUGGAGGGAUCACCAGAUUCUGGUGAAGGCAUCUGCUGAGCAGUGUGUGCCUUGGGAUUGGACAGGGAGGCUGGGGAUUUGAGGGCUGUAGGUGCAUCUUUCAGGAGAAAAAAAAAUGCCGUGGUCCCUGGGGUCCAUUCUGUGGUGCACAAGAGAAGAAAGUGUGAUGUGUCUUUCCUGCUUUGAUGCAGGGUAAAUUAUACAGAAAAGAAUGAAUAAUAAUGAUCUUCGUGCAGAAGAAUGGGUAGUUCAAGAAAAGCUAGAGCUGGAAGAUGAAAAAUGAAAUUUCAGUGUGAGAGGUUAAAUGUAAGAAUGUAAUUUCAUGUUGCUGUCUGACCAAAGUGGUCUGACAGCCUGCAGGAGGCCAGGUUGAA